rfam:Jatropha curcas cultivar GZQX0401 scaffold211_27, whole genome shotgun sequence.
GGACAGUGACGAUUUGAUUGUAUAAGGUCUCGUUCGUCGUAAUUGGCUAUAAAAAGGCCUUGACGACCAUCCUGAUAUAUCACCACCCAUAUUCUGAGUCC